UACGUAGGGUGCGAGCGUUACCCGGAUUUAUUGGGCGUAAAGGGCGCGUAGGCGGCUCGGCACGUCCGUUGUGAAAUCGCCCGGCUCAACUGGGCGGGGUCGGCGGAUACGGCCGAGCUGGAGCAAGCUAGGGGGUAAUGGAAUUCCCGGUGUAGUGGUGGAAUGCGUAGAUAUCGGGAGGAACACCAGUGGCGAAGGCGGUUACCUGGAGCUUUGCUGACGCUGAUGCGCGAAAGCGUGGGGAGCGAACAGG
rnacentral:rRNA from 1 species